rnacentral:rRNA from 1 species
GAAUUCGAUUAACGCGAAGAACCUUACCCAGACUUGACAUGCGAGUGGUAGGGACCCGAAAGGGAACCGACCCGCAAGGGAGCUCGUACAGGUGUUGCACGGCUGUCGUCAGCUCGUGUCGUGAGAUGUUGGGUUAAGUCCCGCAACGAGCGCAACCCUCGGGAUCUGUUGUACCUCUCAGAUCCGACUGCCGAGAGAAACUCGGAGGAAGGUGGGGAUGACGUCAAGUCAGCGUGGCCUUUAUGUCUGGGGCAACACGCACGCUACAAUCGCCGGUCACAGCGGGUCGCGACAACGCAAGUUGAAGCUAAUCCCUUAAAACCGGCGUCAGUUCAGAUCGGAGGCUGCAACUCGCCUCCGUGAAGUCGGAGUUGCUAGUAACCGCAGGUCAGCACACUGCGGUGAAUACGUUCCCGGGCCUUGUCACACCGAAUCACUA